rnacentral:tRNA from 1 species
CAGUAUAGCAUCUCCC